ACUCAUUCCGGCAGGUCAAGGUCUUUCCUGUACUGGGGACCCCAGAGCUGGAUGCAGUACUCUAGAGACCAUGAGAUUGCUUUAGUAUCUGCUGGCUUUAGGGUAUUUACAUUACCACUCAGUUCAUUAUAUAGAAAGGCAGAGCAAGAUUCUCUCCGAAGGCUGUCCCUGAGGAGCUUCUGAAGAAAGUUUUUGAGAAGCACCAGCAUUUCUGGGAAGAAGGAACUUGCUUUAAGGAUACCAGAGAGAAGAACUCAGCAUCUCCCUCUCAGAGAGCAGUGAGAUCCCUCAGCCUACCUUUUUCCAAACUAGACAAGCCUGGUGAACACAGCUGCUCCUCAUGGGACACUCCUUCCAGCCUUGUCACCAGCACUGUUGCCCUCCUCUGGACACAUUCAAGGACCUUCACAUCCUUCUUAAACUCUGGGGCCCAGAAGUGCACACAAUACUUGAGGUGUCCACCAGCACAGAAAGCCAUGGCUGUGACUGCUAAUUAGUUCCCUUUCCAGCAAUCUCAGAAGUAAAUGCAUGAGAAAAUGCAAGACCUCAAAUCAAA